rnacentral:rRNA from 1 species
UAGGGAAUCUUCCGCAAUGGACGCAAGUCUGACGGAGCAACGCCGCGUGAGUGAAGAAGGAUCUCGGUUCGUAAAACUCUGUUGUUAGAGAAGAACAGCGCAUAGAGUAACUGUUAUGCGUGUGACGGUAUCUAACCAGAAAGCCACGGCUAACUACGUGCCAGCAGCCGCGGUAAUACGUAGGUGGCAAGCGUUGUCCGGAUUUAUUGGGCGUAAAGCGAGCGCAGGCGGUCAAUUAAGUCUGAUGUGAAAGCCCCCGGCUCAACCGGGGAGGGUCAUUGGAAACUGGUUGACUUGAGUGCAGAAGAGGAGAGUGGAAUUCCAUGUGUAGCGGUGAAAUGCGUAGAUAUAUGGAGGAACACCAGUGGCGAAGGCGACUCUCUGGUCUGUAACUGACGCUGAGGUUCGAAAGCGUGGGUAGCAAACAGG